UGAUCUGGAGCUCCCUACAUAGCCCAGGCACCUCGAAUUUAUAGUAAUCCUCCUGCUUCAGCCUACCUGGUGCUGGGGUAUAGGUAUGUCCUACCUGCCUGGCUGCUCCGCUGGGGUUCAUGUCAGGGCCUGUAGCUCGCUAGCACCCCUUCACAGUCCUUCAUUUCUGCUUUCUGUUCCUGCGAAUCUGACCCCGGAUGGGUGGAGGUUACUGUGGCUCUCGGGUUCACGUGAAGAAGCGUCUGUGUGCUGUGGGCUGUAGUUCAUGCAGAGACUCAUAACUGGUCAAGGUGGUGAGAAGAAGUGACCAUUGAGGGCACAGCCAUACAUGGGACAUCUUUAUCAACCCCACAAGACUCAGGGAACAUCGAGGAAGAGGGGGAGGGGCGCUGGGAAACACGAAAUUCUGGACCUGUGUGGCUGAUGCACUCGUGAACUCGCCACAGCUGUGGCUACCUGUGAAGACAUUAGUGAGCCAAUGAGGUCAACCAGCAUUCCAGAAGACAGCACCGACUGAACCCGCCGUGCUAAGGAGGAGUCGGGGAUGGUUACGGGGCUCGGGCGUUAAGAGCAUUUGCUGCUCUUGCAGAGUCUGGGUCCAGUUUUUUAAUUCACACGCUGCCUCCAGUGCCAAGAGAUCCGACGCCCUCUUCUGGCCUUAAUGAGCACUGCAGGCACAGGAUGCGCUUACAUGCAAGGCAACACACAUAAAGUUAAGAAAGCAAGAGACCUAGAGAAGACAUGAGUGUGGGAGGGAGUAUAUUGGGGGGUACAUGAGGCAAGUUAAGGGGAAAAUUGGGGUGGGGAUGAUCACGAUACAUUGUCUUUGUCUGGAGAGAUGGGUCCCUGCUUAAGAGUAUGUUCUGAAGCUGGGCAGUGGUGGCACACACCAUGAAUCCCAGCACUUGGGAGGCAGAGGCAGGCGGAUUUCUGAGUUCGAGGCCAGCCUGAUCUACAGAGUGAGUUCCAGGACAGCCAGGGCUACACAGAGAAACCCCGUCUCAAAAGACAAACAAACAAACAAACAGAGUGUGUACUGAUCUUGCAGAGGGCUAGAGUUUGUUUCCUAGCACCCAUCUUCUGCCUUGUAAUUCCAGAUCCAUGGGACACCUGCACUCAUGUGUACAGACAACAGACACACUUACAAAAUAAAAUUAAAAUUCAAAAAAAACCCAGAUUCAUCGUAUGCAUAUAUGAAAUUGCCAAAACACAAACAAAAGGUAGGAGGAAAACAUCAAAACGAAUGAAUGAUUGAAUGAAUGAACAAAUCAGCAAGCUAAAGACUGCCAUACCUUUGUGGCUGCACGGAUGGGGGUGACCCAGAGAGAGCCAGCCAUCUGGGCAGCUUUGACCAUCAGUCGAGAAGGAAACCCACAGCCUUUGGGUUCAGAUCUUCUACAAACAUAGACACACCAAUUCCCACUGUGUGGGAAGAGUUCUUGCGCCUUCAGCAUCUUCAGCAUUGGUCCCUGCAUAGAUCUCAGUUUAAUGGCAGUGCCUUCCAGACCGCAAGGGACUGGCUCCCUCAGAAAACUCUCUCCAGCACGAGGCAUAAUAGCCCGAAGGAUCUAGUUCAGUAGACACAGGGUUCUUCUGUAAUGCACUUUCCAAACGAAGAGCACACUUUGGGAUUAAUUAAACUCUUUUCUAGCU